CAGCAGCCGCGGUAAAACGGAGGGUGCAAGCGUUAAUCGGAAUUACUGGGCGUAAAGCGCACGCAGGCGGUCUGACAAGUCAGAUGUGAAAUCCCCGGGCUUAACCUGGGAACUGCAUUUGAAACUGUCACGCUGGAGUCUUGUAGAGGGGGGUAGAAUUCCAGGUGUAGCGGUGAAAUGCGUAGAGAUCUGGAGGAAUACCGGUGGCGAAGGCGGCCCCCUGGACAAAGACUGACGCUCAGGUGCGAAAGCGUGGGGAGCAAACAGGAUUAGAUACCCCGAGUCCCUGUCUCUUAUACAC
rnacentral:rRNA from 1 species